rfam:Solanum lycopersicum cultivar Heinz 1706 chromosome 7, whole genome shotgun sequence.
CGGCAAUAUGAAAGAAAGGCCGGACUUAAGGCUGGUACAUGUGGUUGGUUGUUGAGUGUUGAAAGUUACAAGAAGGUAUAUUUACUGAGCCAG